AAAGCAGAGACCCCCAUACCCCACCUUGGGUGACUAUCUGUCCAGCCCCAAGGGGCUCAGGGUACUGUGAAGCGUCACAAAGCAAAGGACAGCAACGGGACAAUGAGGCAGGGGGAGGACAGCAGCGGGGUAAGGGAGGCGGGCGGAGAGAUGCAGAGGCCGGAAGGUAGAAGGGGGCGGCAGAGUCAGCCUGCCAUAGAGCUGUUACCCCCUCCCCAGCUAAUCCGGCCUCACCGCCUCACUGCCCAGGAACAUCCGCGGUCAGUCCCAUCUCUGUUCCUUUGCCAGGAGCACCCUGUCCUCUACUCUCUGACUCUCUGGAGUCCACCUGUGGUGCCCAUCUGUCGUUUUUGUCUGGCUAGUUCCUCGUCUCCACUUAUAAUGUGGGGAACCCUUUCCCUGUGGCCGUGGGGUCAACACAGGAGUCGGAGCUGACCAGAGUACUCCAUCCUGGAGCUACAGCGACUGGAUCGGGAACAGGCACACCACCCAAGCCAGCCAAUCAGGAUCCUUCCUGGGGCUUCUCUGCCAAAGUCACGGGAGAAAGACUGUCUUUCUUCUGUGACUAAAGUGGGAUCAGAGUUGGAGCUCCAAAGAGUUGCUUCAAUAUGACAAGAGUUAGCGAACACGUUUGGAAUGGCACCUCCGAAGAUUCUACACCAUACUCACAGGAUAUGCCACAGGGCAGAGCUCGGAGGCGAUGUGGGGUGUUCGCGGAAGCCUUUGGCAGAUCCAACUACCAAUUUAAGGAAAGCGCAGAAGAUGGAGAAUCUUGUUAAACCACACCUGGGGAUGCGGCAAUGGGCUGUCAGACGGUGUGAAACUACAGAACAAGCCUCGUGGUUUCGCUAACAAGGGGACCGCAAAAAAACAAAACCACAAACGAUGGCAGGGGAAUCUUACGAGACUCAAAAUGCACAUCAACAAAUGACGAGGAAACUGAGGCAACUGGCUCAAGGUCACUCCAGGAAGCGCGGAGCCCUCUGCCUCCAGAGACUUCGCUCUCUAGCACACGACAGCAGGCCACGAGCCGCCAGACCUCUGCGCGCACUGCUCACGCUGCCUGGAGAGCCCUUCCCCCAUUCUGCCUGUGAACACUUCAUCUUUCCAGACUCAGCCUACAGGUCACCCCUCCCUGCACAACAGAACUCAUCCCUCCUGCCUUCAUGCCGCCCUGCGCCCAUUCCAGGCUUUCUCAGGGCACUCAUGGCCCUUACUGACCAUGCAUCUGACUUCUCUACGAGGCUGAAAACUCUAGAAGGGCAGGGAUUGGUUCCUUUGCCUUUGUAUCCACAGCACCCAGCUCAGGGCCUGGUCCCUAUGUAGCAAUAAACGUUUGUGGGAUGAAUGAAUGAGUAAAUGAAUGAAUGGAUAUCAGCAGGGCCCUAUGGGAACACAGAAAAGGCAGGAGGGGUUAAGAACUCUGGCUUUUACAUCACAUUGUUCUGAGGUCCAAAUUCUGGUUCCAAUACUCUUAGCUGUGUGACCUGGGGCAAGUGAUUUAGUUUCUCUGAGCCUCCAUUUCCCUAUCUGUCAAAUGGGAUACUAUCUCAUGGCAUCUAUCUCAUAGCACUGAAUGCGAUCAGGCAUUUAAGCACCUAGCCCAGUGUCUGGCAUACAUGGAGGGCUGCGUGGUAGUUAUCCCACCAGCAAACAUCUUCUCGGUAUUCCUAGGCCCUGAGAAACACAUCCCCAGGCUGCCCAGGGUGAUCAACUGGAGCGCUAAAAAAAAAAUAAGGGUGCCAGAGCGACUUCAGACCUGUUCAAUCAGAGUCCCUGGAGAGGGCAGGGGAGAGUCAGGCACCGCCCGGGGUGUGACAGGUGAGGCACCCCCCAAGUGCUUGGAACCGUCCGAGUCCAAACCCUCGCUCUGCUAGCAGAGUUGCCAGAUUUGGCAAAAAUAAAUACAGGACAGCAGUAACAUUUGAAUUUCAGGUAAUCAAUGAACAGUGUUUUAGUAUCAGUGUGCCCCAAAUAUUGCACAGGCAUCCUGUGUGCUAUUUGGCAGCCCUGCUUACGAAGCUGUUUCAUCUCCCUGCGCCUUCACUUCCUUGUGGGGAUUACAUGAGUUAAUAUAUGGAGAAUGCUUACAGCACUGCCUGGUGUGUUUGCUAUUCCUAUUUAUUUUGCUUUUAAAGCAACCCAGACGACACGGGCGAACCUUGAAAACAUUCUGCUCACUGAGAGAAGCC